rnacentral:lncRNA from 1 species
UUAGAUUAAAGGUUAUUCAAACCUAACAUGGUAUCAGAGCAGAUCAUGAUCAGUUUAUAUUGCUUCCGCAAGAUUCAUACAUAAGAUUCAAAUUCUUUUGAAUCAAAUUCUCAAAUUCUUCAUCUCUCGUCACUCGUCAUCUCUCGUCGUGUUUUUUCGUCAAUUUUUUUUUUCUAUAUCAGAUUUUCUUAUUAUUCAGUUCUGGUUUCAGAUCCAG